CUAGAUGUCAACGAUCUUUAUAAAGUUGUUUGAAGCGUCUAUGAUAAACAGAGAGCAAAUUAGAAUGCAGGGAAGUUGACAUGUCGUCACUUCAUUUUUUUGCGCCUGCGCAUAAAUCUGAGAAGAGGGAGUUUAUCAUAAUCGUUUAUCUAGACACUUGAUAGGUUGUGUGAAAAUAUUACUGAUGUUUACUGAUGUUUCACGUUAAAAAUGGACCAAAAGAUUAAUGCUAAACAACGUUUGACAUGUUUGAACGAACGUAAAUAGAUUAUUUACUAGGUUUUUUUAGCUUUUCGGCGUGAUUUUACACCCCCCCCACCACGUUUUGUGGGAGCCUACUGAACGCUAACUAUUUGGUGUUAUUUGGACAUAAAUUAUGAACUUUGUCAAAAGAAACCACAUUUGUUCUGGACCUGGGAAUCCUGGCAGUGCCUUCUGAUGGAGAUAAUCAAAGCUUCGAUGUUCUGCAGCCUGGUGUUGUUGUCGCCAAGGAGCGUUCAGACUCAGUCGCGACCAGGUUUCACCUGCUGUGCAACGCGGACAUCCUUCCUCCCAUAGAUGGUCGGCCUGUACAAGCACCACCUGGACUGGACACAGCUAGACAAACUCAUGUAUUUGAGAAGAUCAGGGGGUUUUGUGACGAAGAGGCUAUGGACAUCACAUGCCCUGCACCAAAGUCAAGGGCAGGACAGAAACAGGUUCUCCGAAUAUAGACUCCCUUGUUCAUGCGUGGUUUGGACGGACCAGUCAUCAGCACUAUCUGCAGUGCCUCUAUUCACAUGACUCUCUCCUAACUCUCUCCUAAAAAUAGUAGGUAGCUAUCAAGUAAACACAAUUUUUUUUAUCCUGCUGCUCAGCCACUUUACCCCUGAUUGUAUGCAUACAACUACCUCAUCUAUCACUAUCGUUAUUGAUAUUGUUCUUGUACAUACUGUUGCUUAUUUUAUUUUGACACUAUCAAUUUCUGAUAUUGCUACUAUGCAAGUAAUCAUUUGGCUGCACUGUUUACACCUUCUAUAGAGACCAAUCCACUUAGCAAGACUUAGCAAAAUAUUGAUAUAUAAAAUUAAUAUUGAUAUGUGUGGUCGUAAAAUGAUUUUGUGACGAACCACAACAAUAUCAGGUGAUCGUAUCAAGUGUCCACCACAUAAAUAUAUUGGGCAUGCAUCUGUUUAUGUACUGUACAUGUGCACCUCAUUCAGGUUUCAACUCAGGUUGCAUGGCCUUAACUUAUGUAUGGAAAACUAUGUGAUGAGUGCAUGUGUAACAGUAUAUACAGUAUGCUAAUAUACUGGUGUGAAGGCAUUUGCCAAAUCAUUUCAGUCUCCUGAGGGGGAAUAGCCAUUGUCGUGCCCUCUUCAUGACUGUGUUUGGACCAUGCUAAUUUGUUGUUGAUGUGGACACCAAGGAACUUGAAGCUCUCAACCUGCUCCACAACAGCCCCGUCGAUAAGAAUGGGGGCGUGCUCGAUCCUCCUUUUUCUGUAGUCCACAAUCAUCUCCUUUGUCUUGAUCACGUUGUGGAAGAGGUUGUUUUCCUGGCACCACACGGCACCACACCACAUAUGAAUCCCAACUUUGGAUUUGACUAUGGAUUCUUCAACAUCUCUCCCUGGGAGCUGUUUCCUGCCAAGGGUGAACGCUGGGCCCUUACAGAAUUACCCACCAAAAACGGACCAAGCAGCGGAGGAAGGAGCAGCACAAGGAGAGGCACCAGGAGAAAAGCUAUCUGGAGUCGUGGACUUGGGAGGAAAUCCUGGGCGGGAAAGGACCAUGGGCUCAAGCUGGGGAUUAUUGCCGCCCGCAGUGGGAGAUCGAGGCGGCGAGAGCUGAGAGGUGCUGGUAUGAGGAAAGGGAGCGCAAAGGACAUGGGAGGCAGCCCCCCCAAAACAUUUUUGGGGGGCACACGGUGAGAUUGGCGGAGUCAGGCGGUAGACCUGAGCCAACUCCCCGUGCUUACCGGAAGCAGCGUGGUACUGGUAAGACACCGUGUUAUGCUGUGGAACGCACAGUGUCCCCAGUGCGCGUGC
rnacentral:lncRNA from 1 species